rnacentral:rRNA from 1 species
AUGGGUCAGCGACUUAUAUUCUGUAGCAAGGUUAACCGUAUAGGGGAGCCGAAGGGAAACCGAGUCUUAACUGGGCGUUAAGUUGCAGGGUAUAGACCCGAAACCCGGUGAUCUAGCCAUGGGCAGGUUGAAGGUUGGGUAACACUAACUGGAGGACCGAACCGACUAAUGUUGAAAAAUUAGCGGAUGACUUGUGGCUGGGGGUGAAAGGCCAAUCAAACCGGGAGAUAGCUGGUUCUCCCCGAAAGCUAUUUAGGUAGCGCCUCGUGAACUCAUCUUCGGGGGUAGAGCACUGUUUCGGCUAGGGGGUCAUCCCGACUUACCAACCCGAUGCAAACUGCGAAUACCGAAGAAUGUUAUCACGGGAGACACACGGCGGGUGCUAACGUCCGUCGUGAAGAGGGAAACAACCCAGACCGCCAGCUAAGGUCCCAAAGUCACAGUUAAGUGGGAAACGAUGUGGGAAGGCUCAGACAGCCAGGAUGUUGGCUUAGAAGCAGCCAUCAUUUAAAGAAAGCGUAAUAGCUCACUGGUCGAGUCGGCCUGCGCGGAAGAUGUAACGGGGCUAAACUGUGCACCGAAGCUGCGGCAGCGACGCUUAUGCGUUGUUGGGUAGGGGAGCGUUCUGUAAGCCUGCGAAGGUGUCCUGUGAGGGAUGCUGGAGGUAUCAGAAGUGCGAAUGCUGACAUAAGUAACGAUAAUGCGGGUGAAAAGCCCGCUCGCCGGAAGACCAAGGGUUCCUGUCCAACGUUAAUCGGGGCAGGGUGAGUCGACCCCUAAGGCGAGGCCGAAAGGCGUAGUCGAUGGGAAACGGGUUAAUAUUCCCGUACUUGGUGUUACUGCGAAGGGGGGACGGAGAAGGCUAUGUUGGCCGGGCGACGGUUGUCCCGGUUUAAGCGUGUAGGUGUGUGUUCCAGGUAAAUCCGGUUCACUUUAACACUGAGGCGUGAUGACGAGGCACUACGGUGCUGAAGCAACAAAUGCCCUGCUUCCAGGAAAAGCCUCUAAGCAUCAGGUAACAUCAAAUCGUACCCCAAACCGACACAGGUGGUCAGGUAGAGAAUACCAAGGCGCUUGAGAGAACUCGGGUGAAGGAACUAGGCAAAAUGGUGCCGUAACUUCGGGAGAAGGCACGCUGACACGUAGGUGAAGU